GACGAACGCUGGCGGCGUGCUUAACACAUGCAAGUCGAACGGAAAGGCCCUGCUUUUGUGGGGUGCUCGAGUGGCGAACGGGUGAGUAACACGUGAGUAACCUGCCCUUGACUUUGGGAUAACUUCAGGAAACUGGGGCUAAUACCGGAUAGGAGCUCCUGCUGCAUGGUGGGGGUUGGAAAGUUUCGGCGGUUGGGGAUGGACUCGCGGCUUAUCAGCUUGUUGGUGGGGUAGUGGCUUACCAAGGCUUUGACGGGUAGCCGGCCUGAGAGGGUGACCGGCCACAUUGGGACUGAGAUACGGCCCAGACUCCUACGGGAGGCAGCAGUGGGGAAUAUUGCACAAUGGGCGGAAGCCUGAUGCAGCAACGCCGCGUGCGGGAUGACGGCCUUCGGGUUGUAAACCGCUUUCGCCUGUGACGAAGCGUGAGUGACGGUAAUGGGUAAAGAAGCACCGGCUAACUACGUGCCAGCAGCCGCGGUGAUACGUAGGGUGCGAGCGUUGUCCGGAUUUAUUGGGCGUAAAGGGCUCGUAGGUGGUUGAUCGCGUCGGAAGUGUAAUCUUGGGGCUUAACCCUGAGCGUGCUUUCGAUACGGGUUGACUUGAGGAAGGUAGGGGAGAAUGGAAUUCCUGGUGGAGCGGUGGAAUGCGCAGAUAUCAGGAGGAACACCAGUGGCGAAGGCGGUUCUCUGGGCCUUUCCUGACGCUGAGGAGCGAAAGCGUGGGGAGCGAACAGGCUUAGAUACCCUGGUAGUCCACGCUGUAAACGGUGGGUACUAGGUGUGGGGUCCAUUCCACGGGUUCCGUGCCGUAGCUAACGCUUUAAGUACCCCGCCUGGGGAGUACGGCCGCAAGGCUAAAACUCAAAGGAAUUGACGGGGCCCCGCACAAGCGGCGGAGCAUGCGGAUUAAUUCGAUGCAACGCGUAGAACCUUACCUGGGUUUGACAUGGAUCGGGAGCGCUCAGAGAUGGGUGUGCCUCUUUUGGGGUCGGUUCACAGGUGGUGCAUGGCUGUCGUCAGCUCGUGUCGUGAGAUGUUGGGUUAAGUCCCGCAACGAGCGCAACCCUUGUUCACUGUUGCCAGCACGUUAUGGUGGGGACUCAGUGGAGACCGCCGGGGUCAACUCGGAGGAAGGUGGGGAUGACGUCAAGUCAUCAUGCCCCUUAUGUCCAGGGCUUCACGCAUGCUACAAUGGCUGGUACAGAGAGUGGCGAGCCUGUGAGGGUGAGCGAAUCUCGGAAAGCCGGUCUCGGUUCGGAUUGGGGUCUGCAACUCGACCUCAUGAAGUCGGAGUCGCUAGUAAUCGCAGAUCAGCAACGCUGCGGUGAAUACGUUCCCGGG
rnacentral:rRNA from 1 species